rnacentral:rRNA from 1 species
UGGGGAAUAUUGCACAAUGGGCGCAAGCCUGAUGCAGCCAUGCCGCGUGUGUGAAGAAGGCCUUCGGGUUGUAAAGCACUUUCAGCGAGGAGGAAGGUGGUGAACUUAAUACGUUCAUCAAUUGACGUUACUCGCAGAAGAAGCACCGGCUAACUCCGUGCCAGCAGCCGCGGUAAUACGGAGGGUGCAAGCGUUAAUCGGAAUUACUGGGCGUAAAGCGCACGCAGGCGGUUUGUUAAGUCAGAUGUGAAAUCCCCGGGCUCAACCUGGGAACUGCAUUUGAAACUGGCAAGCUAGAGUCUCGUAGAGGGGGGUAGAAUUCCAGGUGUAGCGGUGAAAUGCGUAGAGAUCUGGAGGAAUACCGGUGGCGAAGGCGGCCCCCCUGGACGAAGACUGACGCUCAGGUGCGAAAGCGUGGGGAGCAAACAGAUUAGAUACCCUGGUAGUCCACGCUGUAAACGAUGUCGAUUUU